AGUCGAACGGCAGCGCGGGAGCAAUCCUGGCGGCGAGUGGCGAACGGGUGAGUAAUACAUCGGAACGUGUCCUGUAGUGGGGGAUAGCCCGGCGAAAGCCGGAUUAAUACCGCAUACGAUCUACGGAUGAAAGCGGGGGAUCGCAAGACCUCGCGCUAUAGGGGCGGCCGAUGGCGGAUUAGCUAGUUGGUGGGGUAAAGGCCCACCAAGGCGACGAUCCGUAGCUGGUCUGAGAGGACGACCAGCCACACUGGGACUGAGACACGGCCCAGACUCCUACGGGAGGCAGCAGUGGGGAAUUUUGGACAAUGGGCGCAAGCCUGAUCCAGCAAUGCCGCGUGUGUGAAGAAGGCCUUCGGGUUGUAAAGCACUUUUGUCCGGAAAGAAAUCCUCUGGGUUAAUACCCCGGGGGGAUGACGGUACCGGAAGAAUAAGCACCGGCUAACUACGUGCCAGCAGCCGCGGUAAUACGUAGGGUGCGAGCGUUAAUCGGAAUUACUGGGCGUAAAGCGUGCGCAGGCGGUGAUGCUAGACCGAUGUGAAAUCCCCGGGCUUAACCUGGGAACUGCAUUGGUGACUGCAUCGCUGGAGUAUGGCAGAGGGGGGUAGAAUUCACGUGUAGCAGUGAAAUGCGU
rnacentral:rRNA from 1 species